rnacentral:lncRNA from 1 species
AGUAUCUUGUUGGCAGGAGGGGAAAUGACUGCUUGAACGUUUCAGCCUUAAUGCUGACAUGUGGUGACUUGAAGCCAGGUGAAUGAAGGUUCCUCCAGCUAGAGAGGAUAGCAAGAUUUGACUGGACCCUGACUGACGAGAUUACUAUACCUAAAGAAAGAACGCAUUCGUGAGAAGGAGAGUUCUGCUCAGUUAUGAACAAAGCAACUGCAUUCAAUAAAUAUUUGUUGAGUACCUACUGUGUUCCAGCAGAGAGCUCGCAUUCUAGCUGGGGAGACAGAAAACAAAUAAGUGCAUUUAUAAUUGGAUGUCUGCUUGUGAUAUGUGUGUAUCCCAGGCAGAGGGUCCACAGAACAAACAACAGCAUCUAGUGUGGCUCGGAGAUGUGCUCACUCAAGUUCUAUGCCAGAUUUGAGAAGCCUGCUUGACUCUAACAUCCCAAAUCUGCAUUUCCAGCACUUGGGUGACAUUUUGACCUACCUAAUAGCUCUCGGGUUGAUUUCUCCUGUGUGACUUUCAUGAAGACAUACAUAGAGGAAAAAAAGCACAUAUCAAAAGUACUCAGGUCAAUGAAUUUUCCAAAGUGAGCACACCUAUGUAGCCAGCACCCCAAAUCCCUCCUUAUAGCCCCUUUUACCACCCUUACCACUGAAAUGUAACCACUAUCCUGAGACCAGCACCAUAGGUUUGUUUUGCCUUUUUCUGAACUUUAUAUAGAUGGAAAUAUACAGUUCAUACUCAAUACAUGCUGCAUAGAUUCUUUGAUUCAAUAUUACAUCUGUGGGAUAUAUUCAUGUUGUUGUUUGUAUUGGUGUUUUGUUCUUUUUUCAUUGUCAGAUUUCAUGGUAUCACUACAUCACAGUGUAUUUUAUUUAAAUGGACAUCAGGGUUAUUUCCACUAUGCCACUAUUCUUUUAACAAACUAUUUUUCUGCAGGAAUCUGUUAGAAGUGGCUUCUGAUGUUUGCAACUAAGAAUCCUGCCUGAUCCACAUUUGUUUUAAUUCUAAAUUUGUAUUGGGUUACCUAGGUUUUGUAUUGAUUAAGAAAUCAAGUGAAAAUUUCGGGGUUUUUGUAGAAAUUCUUCUUUUUAAACUACGCUUUUGAAGACAUAGACAUAUUUUUCAUGAGCUAUUUGCCAACGAAGAUCUGCUUACUCUGUUUCAACAGUGAAGCCUAAUGAUAAAAAAUAACAUUCCAUGUAGAUAAAAGCUGUGACUUCCCAGCUUAAAUACAGCACUUUCUGGAACUACAGCUAUAACUUGUGUUCUCUUAGGUUGCUAAACAAGUUGGUUAGGAGCUUUUCUCCUCAGGGUUCAACCACAUGACUGCUUCUGGGCAGUUCGAGUGGUUUUCAUCCUCAUUGCACAAUAGCAGAGGUUUUGAGGUUGUGUUUUUCUCCACAUUGCCCAUUUCCCUGGCGGCCACUCUCAGGAGCUGUGAAGAGCUCAAUUUAAAGACAGUCAUAUCAGUUAUUCAUCAAUUACUGGGAUCUUUUCAUUUUUUAAGCAUAUCAUAUCAACACCCCUUUUGUAGGACUAUAGCCUGUCUGAGCGGGGCUGUAGGAGAGAAGGGUAUACCUCUCUGUCAUUACAUCAUUUUCUUCUUUGUCCGGGCCAUAUCAAUUGCCAAUGCCUCAUUCAAGGCCUGACUUUUGAGCAAUGAGAUGGACCAGCCAGCAGUCAUUCCUCUCAGUGACUCAAGGAGACUGACAUUUGUAAUAACAAGGAGUUACUGAGCACUUGGUAUGUAUGCCAAGAUUCUUAGUAUGGACACCAGGGAUCUGCAGAGCAAGCAUGUCCAUUUCAUUAAAACCAAUCUCUCCACUCGUGCUCUGGAUACCAUCCCCUUGUCCUUCCCAAAGACUUUCCUCCUGCAAUAAACCCUUCUCUCCCUAACAUGAUCAAUUUCUCUCUCCCUCCUGGAUCAUUUCCAUGAGAAGGCAGAUGUGUUCUGGUGCCUACUUUCCAAAAAAAAACAUUCUCUCACAUCAUUGCUCCCUCCAGACACAAUCCUAUUUCUCAACUCUUUCACAGCAUGCCUUCCUGCAAAGAAUUGUCUGUAGUCACUGCUCCACUUCCUCACCUCCUUUUCUUAGCUCAGCCAACUCUGGUUAACUUCCUUCUCUCCAUGCCCCUGAAUCUGUUCAUUUCAAGGUCAUGAAUAACCUCUUUUGCCAAACGCAGUGGCCACCACUGUGUCUUCAUCUUAUUCAACUUUCGAAAAUAUUUGACAUAGUUGAUCACUUCCUCAUUCUUAAAGCUGUCUCCUCUCCCAGUUUCCAUGACACCACUUUCUCCCCUUUUCCUCUGACCUCACUGGCUGCAUUGUCUCAGGCCUUUUUGCUCGUUUCUCUUUCUCUGAUCUCUCCUGGAAUGACUCCAGGCUCUGUCCCAGAUCUUCUUGUACUGUCCAUCUAUAAGCUCUUUGUAAGUGACUCAUUCAGUCUCAUGUCUCUAAAUACCAUCUACAUACCGAUGGCUCUCAAAAUUAAAAUUUCUGAUCUUGAUUUAUCUGACCUAUCCCCUAAGGUC